rnacentral:lncRNA from 1 species
GUGCAAACUACAGGGCCAAGUGGGUGUUUCCCGGUGUUUUAUGAUUAGGGUGAAUUUAAGUUGCUGGUGCACUCUAAGCAUGUAUGAUCUGACAGAGGGAGAGGGAGGGCCCCUAGGAAGGCUAGUAGCAGAGAGGGGGUGGCCCUUGGUCAACCAUGUAGGUGGAUCUUACAUGGACUUCUGAGAAGUGGCUGGCCCUAAGAGAAAGAUCUACAUUGUGAAGGCUCUGUCUGGGUGGUGUGCAGUGAGAUACACUGCCCAGUUUCUCAGAAAUGGUGGCCAUAAGACAGAUGUCCUGGGAGGCUGGGUUUGGAAAGCCAUUCCAGGAGCACUUGAAUGAUUCCAGAUUGCAGUGGGCCAAACAGGCUUACCUUCCCCCUCUUCCUCCUCUGAGCUGGACCACUUCAGGCCAGGCUCCAUGCAGGUUGCUCAGGCUGGAUGGAGACCCUGGAGACUGUCAUUAGGGCAUUCUUCAGGCUCACAGCCACUGUUUUGACAGGGUGUGAAUCCAUCGGCAACCUUUGUCUUCUCUGCUUCCC